rnacentral:rRNA from 1 species
CAUUAUUGGAGAGUUUGAUCCUGGCUCAGGACGAACGCUGGCGGCGUGCUUAACACAUGCAAGUCGAGCGGUAAGGCCCUUCGGGGUACACGAGCGGCGAACGGGUGAGUAACACGUGGGUAAUCUGCCCUGCACUCUGGGAUAAGCCCGGGAAACUGGGUCUAAUACCGGAUAUGACCACUUCACGCAUGUGUU